rnacentral:rRNA from 1 species
GACGAACGCUGGCGGCGUGCCUAAUACAUGCAAGUCGAACGCAGUGGGGACGGGUGAGUAACACGUGGGUAACCUCCCAUCAGAGGGGAUAACACUUGGAAACAGGUGCUAAACCGAUACUGAUGGAUGGACCCGCGGUGCAUUAGCUAGUUGGUGAGGUAACGGCUCACCAAGGCCACGAUGCAUAGGCGACCGUAGAGGGUGAUCGGACACAUUGGGACGGAGACGCGGCCAAGAAGCAUACGGGAGGGAGCAGUAGGGAAUCUUCGGCAGUGGACGAAAGGCUGACCGAGCAACGCCGGGUGAGUGAAAAAGGUUUUCGGAUCUUCAAACUGUGUUGUUAGAGAAGCGGUAUAUAACCAGAAGGCCACGGCUAACUACGCGCCAGCCGCCGCGGUAAUAC